rnacentral:lncRNA from 1 species
AUGAAUUCGAACUCGCCUGUACACGCUUUAUUGAAGUCUUUUAGUUCGGCUAUUUUCUCCUCGGCGGUUAGAUUGAAUAGUUUUGGGUCAGUGUUGUUUCUUGCACCAGUGAAUAUUUUGCAUAUGUUUUCCCUGAAGGUUAGUUUACUUGUCGUGUAUAAAAGAGGUUGGAAAUUGAAGUAUAUUACUGGGUAUUUUCGAAAGUGCGCGCUGAAAAAACUCUUUUCUUUGGAGUGGAUGUUGGUGCCCUCAAAAAGUUCGCGGGCCUGCUUUUCGUCGUUAGUGAUGCUGAAAAAUUCCUCCAUCAUUUUCAGGUUGGUUGUUUUGCCGAACCGCAAGGGGGCUGUCAGAUAAAUGUGUUUGGAGGGUAAGCUCGUGAAAUUCUUUCAGCCAUAAUGUUUGUCCACAAAUGUUUUUGCUAAACCGUAUUUCCACUGAAGACUGAGGAUGCCGCCUUUUCUCUACCUGUAAAUCGAAAAAAUUGAUUUUUAUUCAGACAAUGGAGAUGUUGCAUGUGUGAGGAAUUUGCGAUAUGACUAUUGAUUCUUAUGUAAAAGUUCGCGAGAAACACGAUGGUGCCACUGGUGUUCUCUGAAAUCAACUCCCAAGCUCAAAAAAGCUCUCAAGUUGAGGCCAAAAUGGAGGGGAUAUCCCGCGUUAUCCAGAGAGCCCACGUCUACAUCAAGACAAACUCUCCAUGCGAAGAUAGGGGAGUAAUACAUUAGCAGGGUGCCGUGUUUUUCAGUUUUAGAGUCCCCAAAUAAAGUGGCAGCCUGUCAAUGUUUUGCUCCCUAUCAUUGAUGGAGUGUUUUUUUUUUUUAUGUAGAGGUGGAGUCUCAUUGCAGGAUAGCGUGGGAUUCCCCUCCAUUUUGGCCUCAGCUUGAGAGCUUUUUUUUGAGCUUGGGAGUUGAUUUCAGAGAAAACCCAGUGGCACCAUCGUGUUUCUCGCCAACUUGUACAUAAGAUCAAUAGUCAAAUCGCACACAUGCGCAUCUCCAUUCAAUUUUCAAAAG